UCAGGUAGGACUACCCGCUG
rnacentral:rRNA from 1 species